rnacentral:rRNA from 1 species
AGGAAAGACAGGCAACUGCGAUUGCCCCAGUAAUGGCGAAUGAAUUGGCAACACAUCCUAUGUGGCUCAUCCUGAAGUGGUUUCCCUUCCAGCACUGCGACCCAUCCCUUGUGGACCGGGGGCAGCUUGCGGUUGGCUACCGUGGAUUCCAGCAGAUGCUGUGGGCUGUGGAGUGGCCGGUAUGCUGUGAGUGAGGACUGCACCAGGAAGGGCCCUGGAAUGGCCCACGACAGAGGGAGAGUGUCCCAUACCAUCCGUGUGCAGUCCCUUGCUUGUGGCAUUGCCGUCCGCAUCCAGGAGUAGAGUGGCUUGGGACUGCAGUUUGAAGUGCAAGGUGUAUCCAUUGCAAGGCAGAAUACUGACCUGGGACCGAUAGAGCACAAGUAGAGUGAUUGAAGGAUGCAAAGGACUUUGCAAAGAGGGUUAAAAGUCCCUGAAGCUGUGGCAGCAACGGUGGAGAGUGGAGCUGUGGAUGAUUGAAUCGAUGCCCAUGUCUGGUUCCACCCAAAGGGGAGUGAAUAUGGCCCCAGCUGCACCCCUGUGGUGCGUGUCUGGGGACAGACACACACAGUCCCGACCCUUGGGUGCAAUGCUUGCGCCUGAACCACGACAUCGGGGAAUGCCUUCCAAGCAACCUUGGGCCAGCCCAGCACUGGCCAGGAAGCCCUGUCCCCCAUGGGGAGGAUGCUACCCUGGCAGUGCCUGGUGACACUAUGCGUGCCUGGGCCUGAGGCUGAGGAUUGUUGAGGACACUGUUGUGAUCCCUGCAUGGUACCGAGUGAGGGCUGUGAUGCGAUGCUGGACCUUGUUAAGAAGCCCCUCUGUCGAGGCGUGUGUGACAGGCCAGCCACCCUCCGAGAGGGACCGAGAGUGAGAGACACAGCUUUCUAUUUGUCAUCUGAGUGUGGAACGAAACACAGAACCCCCUGGUGUGUCUCCGGACAUGCCAGUCACCGCACCUGGCCUGGACCUGGGACUGGUGGAUGCAUGGUGGCUGCACCACCUCAUGGCUGGUGGCUCCUGUGUGACCACCCUGGUCCCCCAGACAGUGUGCGGUGUGAGAAGCAGAGUGGAGCUUGGGCCAACAGUGCCACCCUYUGCCCGUCUUGAAACACGGACCAAGGAGUCUAUGGAGCUUGCGCAUGGUUGGAAGGUUCCCAAUGGAAGCCGCAGUGCAUGGUGAAGGCAACAGACCCAGAUGGUGAAUCCACAGGACCAGCCCCAUGGCCAGGCCGCGUCAGAGACCACAGUGAUGUCUUUCUGGAACCCCUCGAGGGCUGCACCUGUGUGAUCCGAGACCGGGCAGGCCAAGGGUGCUGUGAAACUGGAGAGUGCUGCAUGGGAACCAGUCCUGAAGCCCGUUGGACAAGGUUCUGAGUGAAUGCAAGGUCCCUGGGACCCGAAAGGUGGUGAACUAUACCGUUCUAUGGUGAAGCCUUGGGAAACUGAGGUGGAGGCCAGCAGCUGUUCUGACGUGCAAAUUGUGUAGCCUGAGUGUGGCAUAGGGGUGAAAGGCCAAUCGAACCACCUAGUAGCUGGUUUCCUUCGAAGUUUCCCUCAGGAUAGCUGGGCUUGAAUGCAACCACCCAGAGAGGUUACGUCCGGUAAAGCAACGCAUGAGAGGCUAUACCUGGGGAGGCUGUCCUCCUCAACCUAUUCUCGAACUGUGAAUGGGCGUGAACACACCCAGAAAUGCAAGCUUCUUCACUGUGCUGGAGUCUGUGCCUAGACAGUCCCUCCGGCCUUCUGAGCAUGUUGGUCUGGUGGUGGUGAGCCUGGUCCACCAAAAUGAGAGAGAGAGUCUCGACAAGCAGAGUGUUGUGGCAAACAGGGACAGAAGCAGAGCAGCCCUCGGCCGAUGGAGGCACUGGUUGUGAUAGCCACGUGCGUGCGGGAUCUGUGCGGAGAGGGCAAGCAAGAAGGAGAGUCUCUUUUGUGUGGACAGAAACAGAGCUGCCACCCCUUGGGAGAACAGGCAGGCCUAUGUGGACCAUGAUUGGUAAGCAGUGCUGGUGAUGCGGGAUGCUCCGAGAGUGGACUUACAGGUCCAGAGUGCUGGCUCAUACCCAGAUCCCACAAAGGAUGUUGCCUGCUAGAGAUAGCAGGACGGUGGCCAUGAAGGUUGGAAUCCGCCAAGGAAUGUGUAACAACUCACCUGCCGAAGCGUGCAGCUCCGAAAAUGGAUGGUGCCCAAGUCAGUGAAGCUGAAUUUGCCUCACAGUCCACUGCCACUGUGGCAGCAACAAGCAGAGCAUUGGCAUGUAGAAUGGACAUGGGAGAUUGCAGUGCCCGCUGGGGUUGCCCCUGGCUUGAGUGUCUCCUGGCGCAGAUCUUGGUUGCAGUAGCAAGUACUCCAUCGGGUAAGGUGCAGAACAACCCCUGCUGUGUGUGGUUGAGGACUGGAGUGGAGCAGGUUUCCACAACAAACAGCCGUUGAAUGUGGGUCAGCCGACCGUGAGCCAAGUGGUAAAUUCACUGAACAACCAAAGCUGCUGUGUGUGCCCCCUGCGAGGGACCACCGGAACAAGGCCCCGUGAAAAUGACCCUCCCUGGAGGGAUGGCAACCGAGGGAACCUGUCUGUGGGACCGUCUGCCGCCUGACAUGGCCCCUGUGUCUCUCCGACGCCUGGGCAUGGGUCACAGCAGCACGGUUCCGUUGCGGGGUGACCACCAUGCCAGCCGCAGCUCCAGGGAGUGGGGAGAGAUGGCACUGUGCCGGACAGAGUCCCUGUGCUUAUGUGAGGAUGCAAUGGCAGGAAUGGCAAACAGGCAAGCAGGUGCAACAUUCUGCUGCAAUGGGCCUGGGGUGCCCUUCGAUACUGAGUGGAGACACUCCACUGAUUGCUGGAUCAAGCAGGCCUAGGGGCAGUGGACCCCCUGAGGAGUUCUCUUUUCCUCCUGAUGCAGGUUCAUGUGGGCUGUUGAAUGGCAUGACAGAUGGUGGCAUAGGCCCUCCACCCGGCAGGGCAGCAAUCUCAAAUGUUGGUACAGCUGAUGGUCUCCUCUUUGCAUGUGUGUGACGGACGGGCUCCAAGGCAGCAAAGGCUAUACAUUUCCCAAGGGCUAAGGCCGACGGCUCCCUCCCGAGUCACAAGGCAAAAUCUCUGGCAGUCACUGGCUCCAAUGAAAGUCCUGUGUGGACCAUGUGCCCCUAACCCCUGGGUUCUCGUACUGAAUCACCGCAGCCGGUCUCCUCGGCUAGACGCCGCUAGUCCACAGACCGAAUGCAGCUAAGGGAAGUCGGCAAACUAGCUGUGUACCUUUGGAAGAUGCAGUGGCUCCAGAGGCCAAGCCACCGUUGGGUCCCAUUAGGCCUCUUCUAUCUUGCCCAUGGACAUGGGUGGGAUGUGAACCCAGUGAUCUCGGUUGCUCCGUGAGCAGCCUGCCCGGUUUGUGCUUCAGUGUUGCCUCUGGAAUGGUGCUGUGCAUGGUGAGUGUCCGGUGCAGGAGCAAUCCUCACCACUAGAGGCACUCCUCCCAGGUGUCUACAUGGUGGCCCAUAUGGAACUGAUGCUGUGCAGGGGAAUCUGACUGUUUAAUUGAAACCCAGCUUUGUGAAGGGACCAGCUGGCUGGUUCCAUGAGGUGACUUCUGCCCAGUGCUCUGAUUGUCACCACGAAGAGAUUCAGUGAAGCGCGGGUAAACGGCGGGAGUAACUAUGACUCUCUUAAGGUAGCCAAAUGCCUCGUCAACCAAUUAUUGACGCGCAUGAAUGGAUCAACGAGAUUCCUGCUGUCCCUAGGUGCUGUCUGGUGAACCAACCGCCAAGGGAACGGGCUUGGAUGUGUCAGCGGGGAAAGAAGA